rnacentral:rRNA from 1 species
CCUACGGGUGGCUGCAGUGGGGGAUAUUGCACAAUGGGGGAAACCCUGAUGCAGCGACGCCGCGUGAGUGAAGAAGUAUUUCGGUAUGUAAAGCUCUAUCUGCAGGGAAGAAAAUUACAGUACCUGACCAUGAAUCCCCGGCUAACUACGUACCAGCAGCCGCAGUAAUGCGGAGGGGGCAAGCGUUAUCCGGAUUUACUGGGUGUAAAUGGAGCGUAGACGGUUGUGUAAGUCUGGAGUGAAAGCCCGGGGCCAGACCCCGGGAUUGCUUUGGAAACUGUGUACCUGGAGUACAGGAGGGGCAGGCGGAAUUCCUGGUGUAGCGGUGAAAUGCGUAGAUAUCAGGAGGAACCCC